AUUGAACGCUGGCGGCAGGCCUAACACAUGCAAGUCGAGCGGAUGAAGGGAGCUUGCUCCUGGAUUCAGCGGCGGACGGGUGAGUAAUGCCUAGGAAUCUGCCUGGUAGUGGGGGAUAACGUCCGGAAACGGGCGCUAAUACCGCAUACGUCCUGAGGGAGAAAGUGGGGGAUCUUCGGACCUCACGCUAUCAGAUGAGCCUAGGUCGGAUUAGCUAGUUGGUGGGGUAAAGGCCUACCGAGGCGACGAUCCGUAACUGGUCUGAGAGGAUGAUCAGUCACACUGGAACUGAGACACGGUCCAGACUCCUACGGGAGGCAGCAGUGGGGAAUAUUGGACAAUGGGCGAAAGCCUGAUCCAGCCAUGCCGCGUGUGUGAAGAAGGUCUUCGGAUUGUAAAGCACUUUAAGUUGGGAGGAAGGGCAGUAAGUUAAUACCUUGCUGUUUUGACGUUACCAACAGAAUAAGCACCGGCUAACUUGGUG
rnacentral:rRNA from 1 species